GGUUAAGCGACUAAGCGUACACGGUGGAUGCCCUGGCAGUCAGAGGCGAUGAAGGACGUGCUAAUCUGCGAAAAGCGUCGGUAAGGUGAUAUGAACCGUUAUAACCGGCGAUGUCCGAAUGGGGAAACCCAGUGCAAUUCGUUGCACUAUCGUUAACUGAAUACAUAGGUUAACGAGGCGAACCGGGGGAACUGAAACAUCUAAGUACCCCGAGGAAAAGAAAUCAACCGAGAUUCCCCCAGUAGCGGCGAGCGAACGGGGAGCAGCCCGGAGUCUGAAUCAGCUUGUGUGUUAGUGGAAGCGUCUGGAAAGUCGCAGGGUACAGGGUGAUACUCCCGUACACUAAAACACACAGGUUGUGAACUCGAAGAGUAGGGCGGGACACGUGGUAUCCUGUCUGAAUAUGGGGGGACCAUCCUCCAAGGCUAAAUACUCCUGACUGACCGAUAGUGAACCAGUACCGUGAGGGAAAGGCGAAAAGAACCCCGGCGAGGGGAGUGAAAAAGAACCUGAAACCGUGUACGUACAAGCAGUAGGAGCCCACUAGUUGGGUGACUGCGUACCUUUUGUAUAAUGGGUCAGCGACUUAUAUUCUGUAGCAAGGUUAACCGUAUAGGGGAGCCGCAGGGAAACCGAGUCUUAACUGGGCGUUAAGUUGCAGGGUAUAGACCCGAAACCCGGUGAUCUAGCCAUGGGCAGGUUGAAGGUUGGGUAACACUAACUGGAGGACCGAACCGACUAAUGUUGAAAAAUUAGCGGAUGACUUGUGGCUGGGGGUGAAAGGCCAAUCAAACCGGGAGAUAGCUGGUUCUCCCCGAAAGCUAUUUAGGUAGCGCCUCGUGAACUCAUCUUCGGGGGUAGAGCACUGUUUCGGCUAGGGGGUCAUCCCGACUUACCAACCCGAUGCAAACUACGAAUACCGAAGAAUGUUAUCACGGGAGACACACGGCGGGUGCUAACGUCCGUCGUGAAGAGGGAAACAACCCAGACCGCCAGCUAAGGUCCCAAAGUCAUGGUUAAGUGGGAAACGAUGUGGGAAGGCCCAGACAGCCAGGAUGUUGGCUUAGAAGCAGCCAUCAUUUAAAGAAAGCGUAAUAGCUCACUGGUCGAGUCGGCCUGCGCGGAAGAUGUAACGGGGCUAAACCAUGCACCGAAGCUGCGGCAGCGACGCUUAUGCGUUGUUGGGUAGGGGAGCGUUCUGUAAGCCGUUGAAGGUGGCCUGUGAGGGUUGCUGGAGGUAUCAGAAGUGCGAAUGCUGACAUAAGUAACGAUAAUGCGGGUGAAAAACCCGCACGCCGGAAGACCAAGGGUUCCUGUCCAACGUUAAUCGGGGCAGGGUGAGUCGACCCCUAAGGCGAGGCCGAAAGGCGUAGUCGAUGGGAAACAGGUUAAUAUUCCUGUACUUGGUGUUACUGCGAAGGGGGGACGGAGAAGGCUAUGUUGGCCGGGCGACGGUUGUCCCGGUUUAAGCAUGUAGGCGGAUGUUCCAGGUAAAUCCGGAACGUUACUAACGCUGAGGUGUGAUGACGAGGCACUACGGUGCUGAAGUGACAAAUGCCCUGCUUCCAGGAAAAGCCUCUAAGCAUCAGGUAACAUCAAAUCGUACCCCAAACCGACACAGGUGGUCAGGUAGAGAAUACCAAGGCGCUUGAGAGAACUCGGGUGAAGGAACUAGGCAAAAUGGUGCCGUAACUUCGGGAGAAGGCACGCUGAUGGUAAGUGAAGCGACUUGCUCACGGAGCUGAAAUCAGUCGAAGAUACCAGCUGGCUGCAACUGUUUAUUAAAAACACAGCACUGUGCAAACACGAAAGUGGACGUAUACGGUGUGACGCCUGCCCGGUGCCGGAAGGUUAAUUGAUGGGGUUAUCCUCGCGGAGAAGCUCUUGAUCGAAGCCCCGGUAAACGGCGGCCGUAACUAUAACGGUCCUAAGGUAGCGAAAUUCCUUGUCGGGUAAGUUCCGACCUGCACGAAUGGCGUAAUGAUGGCCAGGCUGUCUCCACCCGAGACUCAGUGAAAUUGAACUCGCUGUGAAGAUGCAGUGUACCCGCGGCAAGACGGAAAGACCCCGUGAACCUUUACUAUAGCUUGACACUGAACACUGGUCCUUGAUGUGUAGGAUAGGUGGGAGGCUUUGAAGUGUGGACGCCAGUCUGCAUGGAGCCAUCCUUGAAAUACCACCCUUUAAUGGCUGGUGUUCUAACGUGGGCCCGUGAUCCGGGUUGCGGACAGUGUCUGGUGGGUAGUUUGACUGGGGCGGUCUCCUCCUAAAGAGUAACGGAGGAGCACGAAGGUCAGCUAAUCCUGGUCGGACAUCAGGAGGUUAGUGCAAUGGCAUAAGCUGGCUUGACUGCGAGCGUGACGGCGCGAGCAGGUGCGAAAGCAGGUCAUAGUGAUCCGGUGGUUCUGAAUGGAAGGGCCAUCGCUCAACGGAUAAAAGGUACUCCGGGGAUAACAGGCUGAUACCGCCCAAGAGUUCAUAUCGACGGCGGUGUUUGGCACCUCGAUGUCGGCUCAUCACAUCCUGGGGCUGAAGUAGGUCCCAAGGGUAUGGCUGUUCGCCAUUUAAAGUGGUACGCGAGCUGGGUUUAGAACGUCGUGAGACAGUUCGGUCCCUAUCUGCCGUGGGCGCUGGAGAAUUGAGGGGGGCUGCUCCUAGUACGAGAGGACCGGAGUGGACGCAUCACUGGUGUUCGGGUUGUCAUGCCAAUGGCAUUGCCCGGUAGCUAAAUGCGGAAGAGAUAAGUGCUGAAAGCAUCUAAGCACGAAACUUGCCCCGAGAUGAGUUCUCCCUGACUCCUUGAGAGUCCUGAAGGAACGUUGAAGACGACGACGUUGAUAGGCCGGGUGUGUAAGCGCAGCGAUGCGUUGAGCUAACCGGUACUAAUGAACCGUGAGGCUUAACCUU
rnacentral:rRNA from 1 species